UUAACGUAGGAGGUCUCUAACCCGAAAGGGGCAGAGAAGUCAGCAGAGGCCAUAGUACCGCUAUAAAUAUUGAGUAACGUCAAUACAGGGAAGGGC
rfam:Petrimonas mucosa isolate ING2-E5A genome assembly, chromosome: I